CCUACGGGCGGCAGCAGUGAGGAAUAUUGGUCAAUGGACGAGAGUCUGAACCAGCCAAGUAGCGUGAAGGAUGACUGCCCUAUGGGUUGUAAACUUCUUUUAUAUGGGAAUAAAACGUUCCACGUGUGGGAUUUUGUAUGUACCAUAUGAAUAAGGAUCGGCUAACUCCGUGCCAGCAGCCGCGGUAAUACGGAGGAUCCGAGCGUUAUCCGGAUUUAUUGGGUUUAAAGGGCGCGUAGGGGGAUUGUUAAGUCAGUUGUGAAAGUUUGCGGCUCAACCGUAAAAUUGCAGUUGAAACUGGCAGUCUUGAGUACAGUAGAGGUGGGCGGAAUGCGUGGUGUAGCGGUGAAAUGCUUAGAUAUCACGAAGAACUCCGAUUGCGAAGGCAGUUCACUGGACUGCAACUGACACUGAGGCUCGAAAGUGUGGGUAUCAAACAGGAUUAGAUACCCCUGUAGUC
rnacentral:rRNA from 1 species